AGAGUUUGAUCCUGGCUCAGAUUGAACGCUGGCGGCAGGCCUAACACAUGCAAGUCGAACGGUAGCACAGAGGAGCUUGCUCCUUGGGUGACGAGUGGCGGACGGGUGAGUAAUGUCUGGGGAUCUGCCCGAUGGAGGGGGAUAACUACUGGAAACGGUAGCUAAUACCGCAUAACGUCGCAAGACCAAAGUGGGGGACCCUCGGGCCUCACACCAUCGGAUGAACCCAGAUGGGAUUAGCUAGUAGGUGGGGUAAUGGCUCACCUAGGCGACGAUCCCUAGCUGGUCUGAGAGGAUGACCAGCCACACUGGAACUGAGACACGGUCCAGACUCCUACGGGAGGCAGCAGUGGGGAAUAUUGCACAAUGGGCGCAAGCCUGAUGCAGCCAUGCCGCGUGUAUGAAGAAGGCCUUCGGGUUGUAAAGUACUUUCAGCGGGGAGGAAGGGAUGAUGUUUAAUACGCAUCGUCAUUGACGUUACCCGCAGAAGAAGCACCGGCUAACUCCGUGCCAGCAGCCGCGGUAAUACGGAGGGUGCAAGCGUUAAUCGGAAUUACUGGGCGUAAAGCGCACGCAGGCGGUCUGUCAAGUCGGAUGUGAAAUCCCCGGGCUUAACCUGGGAACUGCAUUCGAAACUGGCAGGCUAGAGUCUUGUAGAGGGGGGUAGAAUUCCAGGUGUAGCGGUGAAAUGCGUAGAGAUCUGGAGGAAUACCGGUGGCGAAAGGCGGCCCCCUGGACAAAGACUGACGCUCAGGUGCGAAAGCGUGGGGAGCAAACAGGAUUAGAUACCCUGGUAGUCCACGCUGUAAACGAUGUCGACUUGGAGGUUGUGCCCUUGAGGCGUGGCUUCCGGAGCUAACGCGUUAAGUCGACCGCCUGGGGAGUACGGCCGCAAGGUUAAAACUCAAAUGAAUUGACGGGGGCCCGCACAAGCGGUGGAGCAUGUGGUUUAAUUCGAUGCAACGCGAAGAACCUUACCUGGCCUUGACAUCCACGGAAUUUGGCAGAGAUGCCUUAGUGCCUUCGGGAACCGUGAGACAGGUGCUGCAUGGCUGUCGUCAGCUCGUGUUGUGAAAUGUUGGGUUAAGUCCCGCAACGAGCGCAACCCUUAUCCUUUGUUGCCAGCGAUUCGGUCGGGAACUCAAAGGAGACUGCCGGUGAUAAACCGGAGGAAGGUGGG
rnacentral:rRNA from 1 species